GGGGCAUCGAGUGCGGUCUUCGGGGACCACCUCCCACCCGUGUUGCCCGAACCUAUGUUGCCUCGGCGGGCCCCGCGCCCGCCGACGGCCCCCCUGAACGCUGUCUGAAGUUGCAGUCUGAGACCUAUAACGAAAUUAGUUAAAACUUUCAACAACGGAUCUCUUGGUUCCGGCAUCGAUGAAGAACGCAGCGAAAUGCGAUAACUAAUGUGAAUUGCAGAAUUCAGUGAAUCAUCGAGUCUUUGAACGCACAUUGCGCCCUCUGGUAUUCCGGAGGGCAUGCCUGUCCGAGCGUCAUUGCUGCCCUCAAGCCCGGCUUGUGUGUUGGGCCCCGUCCCCCCCGCCGGGGGGACGGGCCCGAAAGGCAGCGGCGGCACCGCGUCCGGUCCUCGAGCGUAUGGGGCUUCGUCACCCGCUCUAGUAGGCCCGGCCGGCGCCAGCCGACCCCCAACCUUUAAUUAUCUCAGGUUGACCUCGGAUCAGGUAGGGAUACCCGCUGAACUUAAGCAUAUCAAAAGGCCGGGAGGAA
rnacentral:rRNA from 1 species